rnacentral:rRNA from 1 species
AUUGGACAAUGGGCGAAAGCCUGAUCCAGCGACGCCGCGUGGGUGAAGAAGGCCUGCGGGUUGUAAAGCCCUUUCGGUGGGGAAGAAAAGCCUCGACCUAGUACGUCGGGGUCUUGACGUAACCCACAGAAGAAGCACCGGCUAACUCUGUGCCAGCAGCCGCGGUAAUACAGAGGGUGCGAGCGUUAAUCGGAAUUACUGGGCGUAAAGCGCGCGUAGGCGGCUUUGCAAGUCGGGUGUGAAAUCCCCAGGCUUAACCUGGGAACUGCAUUCGAGACUGCAUUGCUAGAGUAUGGGAGAGGGAAGUGGAAUUUCCGGUGUAGCGGUGAAAUGCGUAGAUAUCGGAAGGAACAUCAGUGGCGAAAGCAGCCCCCUGGGAUAAUACUGACGCUCAGACACGAAAGCGUGGGGAGCAAACAGG